rnacentral:rRNA from 1 species
GACGAACGCUGGCGGCGUGCCUAACACAUGCCAGUCGAACGCCCACUUUAUACCGUCUCUUGCUUCACCAUAGCCUGUGAGUUGCGAACGGGUGAGUCACGCGUAUGUACCCUGCCUGGGAGCGGAGGGUAACUAUUCGUAACGAUAGCUAAUAUCGCAUAAUCUUAAUUAUUCCAUGGUACUUAAUUCAAAGGUGCAAUUGCACCACUACCAGCUGGUCCUGCGGUGUAUUAGCUAGUAGGUGAGGUAACGGCCCACCCAGGCGACGACACAUAGCCGAGCUGAGAGGGAGAUCGGCCAAACCUGGAACGGAGCACGGCCCAGAACCCUACGGGAGGGAGCCGGAGGGAAUUAUUGGCAAUGGGGGAAAGUCUGACCGAGCAACGCCGGGUGAGUGAAGAAGGGUUUCGGAGUGGAAAGCUCUGUUGUAAGAGAAGAACGGGUGGGAGAUUGAAAAGUUCACACUGUGACGGUACCUAACCAGAAAGCAACGGCUAACUACGUG